rnacentral:rRNA from 1 species
GACGAACGCUGGCGGCGUGCUUAACACAUGCAAGUCGAACGGAAAGGCCCUGCUUGCCGGGUACUCGAGUGGCGAACGGGUGAGUAACACGUGGGUGAUCUGCCCUGCACUUCGGGAUAAGCUUGGGAAACUGGGUCUAAUACCGGAUAGGAACCAUCUUUAGUGUGGUGGUUGGAAAGUUUUUUCGGUGUAGGAUGAGCUCGCGGCCUAUCAGCUUGUUGGUGGGGUAAUGGCCUACCAAGGCGGCGACGGGUAGCCGGCCUGAGAGGGUGUACGGCCACAUUGGGACUGAGAUACGGCCCAGACUCCUACGGGAGGCAGCAGUGGGGAAGAUUGCACAAUGGGCGCAAGCCUGAUGCAGCGACGCCGCGUGGGGGAUGAAGGCCUUCGGGUUGUAAACUCCUUUCGCUAGGGACGAAGCUUUUUGUGACGGUACCUAGAGAAGAAGCACCGGCUAACUACGUG